rnacentral:rRNA from 1 species
AACAGCUGGAAACGGCUGCUAAUACCGAAUGCGUUCUUUUUGUCGCAUGGCAGAGAGAAGAAAGGGAGGCUCUUCGGAGCUUUCGCUGAAGGAGGGGCUUGCGUCUGAUUAGCUAGUUGGAGGGGUAACGGCCCACCAAGGCGACGAUCAGUAGCCGGUCUGAGAGGAUGAACGGCCACAUUGGGACUGAGACACGGCCCAGACUCCUACGGGAGGCAGCAGUGGGGAAUCUUCCGCAAUGGGGGGAACCCUGAUGCAGCCAUGCCGCGUGUGUGAAGAAGGCCUUCUGGUUGUAAAGCACUUUCAGAGGGGAGGAAAAUGACGUUACCCUCAGAAGAAGCACCGGCUAACU